CCUGCAACUUCAGAGAGAGCCCGAACUAUCUUCCAGUCAUCCCUGGCAUCACCAACUGUUGGAACUGCAGGCAAAGUCUGUUGAGCGCACCCUUCUGUAUUUUCAUAAGUUCCUUCCUUUUCAGUGAACGCUGCUGCUGGCAAUAUGACGUUGGCAUGAUAUACCCCAUGAUCCCCAUGGUGCCCCUGAUAAACCACAAAGGCAUCCUUCGGCAGCUUGUCCAAGUUCACAUCAUCAGAACCCAUCAAAUAAACAAACUUGGCAGACUCGAGGCUAUUGCCGGAUUCUGGCACAAGUCCAAGGUCAAGGGCUGCCGCUUGGGCAGCAUUGAGAAGCAAUACAUUGAAUCCAUUCCAGUCAGGUCUCACGACGUUCCCCUUCUUUGCAAUUGCCUCAACAGUAGAAAAAAUUGCAUCCUUGUCUGUUCUCUCAAAGAUUC
rnacentral:lncRNA from 1 species